rnacentral:misc_RNA from 1 species
AAGUCGUAACAAGGUUUCCGUAGGUGAACCUGCGGAAGGAUCAUUAACACGUAUCCAAACGUUAAAACCCCCCCGUGAACCUUUAUUAGUGCGCCCCGUUGGGUACCUGAGUCGUAGUGUGUGGUAAAUCAUGGGUAGAGUUGGGAGUUCUUCUCAACAGGCUACAUUAUUGAUUCAGUGACUACGAUUGGCUGGCGGAAAUGCGAGCUAUAUGUCGGCUGCGGCCCAAGCAAUAACUUGUCUGAAAGUGUCAUUUAUUGUGUAAGUCGGCGCUUUUGCGUGCACUGGAGGCCGAACACCGGCCGGUGACAGUCCCGGGGCCUUGUGCUCCCCUACCACAUGAAUUACGACCUCGGUGGUGCGAGGGCCAAGUGGCCUGCCGCACCGAACGCACAACUGUUAACAAUGGAUAUCUUGGUUCUC